ACUUUGCCUGUUACAGUGGAGAUGUCGUGAAUAUGCAGGUGGUGAAAGUGCGGCUGCAGUCCGCCUCCUCAGCGGACCUGGAGGUCAUGAAGGACGCCUUGUUGCAGCAGCUGCGUCAGAGACUGAAGGACCAAGGCGUGAGUGACGACGUGCAGCUCCGAUGGGUGACGCAGCCUGAUGGGAGGGUCUUCCACAAGGAAGGGAAAGAGGAGGAGAAGAACGAGGAGGAGCAGGCGGAGAGCUGCGGCCCCUGAACAUGCUUUUGAUUUUUCACGUAGUGCCGUUUCAUUGGAGAAUAUUAUUCAUGACUUAGCAUGAAAAAGUACAAAAAAGAAAAUCACAAUAAUUGGAAACAUGCUGGCAUUCUUUUACAUGUGAACUGUAUUUUUCACAGAGAUCCAAAGCCAUACGAUAUC